UGUAGAAUGUACUCUUUAAUGCACUACUUAGUGCACUUAUAUAAGGGAUAGUGAAUGAUUUGGGAUUUACCCAUGGUCGAGUUCGACCUGUAUAGCUAAGUAAGGCGAAUGCUACUGCAGAAGGCUGAACCCGAGCAGUGAUUAUCCUCUUUACCGGUUUCAUCAGUCCGCUGAGGCUGAGUGAGGAAGAGGAAGAAGAUGGCUACAGGUGAUGUGAAAGGAAGUCUCAGGAAGCUGCAAGCAUCUCUCCGAUCUGUAAAAUACCCAAGAGAUGUUGAUUAUCAAGGGUUAGCUAGAGGAGAUCCGUCAUGCUGUCUGCCCAUCGUGAGCUACGCCUUCACCUCCUUCUCCACCGCUGUGGCUGAGCACCUGGUGGAGUUUGGCAUCGAGCUCACAGGAAAAAACGACCUGAGCUUCAUGGAGUCCGUUUACAAGGUCCUGCGAGAUCUCUUCAGUUAUAAACCCCUGUUGACUAAGCAGCAGUUCCUUCAGAGCGGUUUUGCCGAGAGGAAGAUCUCUCUUCUCUGCGACAUCAUCGGCUUCGUCCUGGACAAACACAAACAGCUCACGAAAAGCACCAAGCCCAUUGGUCCGCUGAGGCGGAGGCAGCUGUCUCGUACCGACUCUAAAUCCGUGGAAUGUUCACCACCCAGAGAGACCCAGAGGACGCCAGGCCAGAGAGUAGGUUCCAGAAGGUUGCUGGUGGAGAGGCACCUGGGCCUCCAGCGAUCUCCAGCGCACGUCAGCUUCUCCUCAGACGAUCAGCAGCUGGACGAGGACGAGGACGAGGAAGGAAGGCAGAGACCUCACGACCGAGACGUUCCUCGACCUUCUGCUCACACGGAGUGUGUGACGGAGAGCAGGUUGAGAGUGGUGGAGGCAGGGCUGCAGCAGUGUGUGUGCAGGCUGGAGCAGCAGCUGAGCCUGCUGGACGGGAGAGUGCAGGCGCUGGAGAAGAGCACAGCUGGAAAGAUCUGCAUAGAGCGCAGCGUGUGGGAGGAGCUGGAGAACCGGGUACUGCUACUGGAGACGGGACUGACGUUAACCCGGGCACAGGAUCCGAUGAGAACGGGCGGAGUUACGAGUGUGGAGAUGAGCCAGCACCCCGAUGAGACCCUUUUGGAGUGGGUUAAAGAGCCAGCCAGUAGUUCCACUGUGGCACACCGAGCCUCACCAGCCAACCAUUUAUCAUCAUCCUCGGAGGAUGAAGGACACAUCCAGCCUUUUGAAGAAUAUCGAGCCGACGAUAUGAGUUCGUUUGACCUCGUGAGGUGUGUUCAACACAUCCGAAUGAAUGUAGAGGAGUAAAAGGGAAGGAAAACCUCCUCAGAUGCCUCCUCGGAGUCGGAUUUCAGUACUUAUUUAUACUGUUCAUUGGGCAAGAUGUAGUGAUAAUUGUGACUGUGUUCAUGCUGGAACUGCAUUUCUCCGUUUCGUGCCUUUUGGCUGAGGUUAAGUGUCAUUGACGUGCCUUGUCCAGUAGAUGUCCCUGUAGCGCUGUACCUCAGAUUAACGUGCCUUUGCUGCCCUCUGUGGUCAGUGAUGUGCAUUACUACGAAGUUCUCCAGCGCAGAGGUGAAAACAUGUUGUAUUCAAUUUGUAUUUUUUUAUAUCAACUUUGCUUUCAGAUAAAGUAAAACCACAGAAGUGAUGAAAGAUA